rnacentral:rRNA from 1 species
CUUUACUGUAGCCUGGAAUUGGCUUCGGGCUUCGCUUGCGCAGGAUAGGUGGGAGGCGUUGAGAUAUUCCUUGUGGGGAAUGUGGAGCCAACGGUGAGAUACCACUCUGGUGAGGCUAGAAUUCUAACCCGAUGCCGUGAACCGGCUCGGGAACAGUUUCAGGCGGGCAGUUUGACUGGGGCGGUCGCCUCCUAAAAGGUAACGGAGGCGCGCAAAGGUGUUCUCAGGCUGGUUGGAAAUGGGUCGUAGAGUGCAAAGGCAGAAGGGAGCUUGACUGUGAGACCUACAAGUCGAACAGGGUGGAAACACGGCCUUAGUGAUCCGACGGCACCGCGUGGAAGGGCCGUCGCUCAACGGAUAAAAGUUA